GAGUGAUCUUUACUCGAGAUUGCCGCUCUAUCACCCUUUGUCGAACAUACCUAACCGUUGCUUCGGCGGGCAGGGGAAGCCUCUCGCGGGCCUCCCCUCCCGGCGCCGGCCCCACCACGGGGACGGGGCGCCCGCCGGAGGAAACCAAACUCUAUUUACACGACGUCUCUUCUGAGUGGCACAAGCAAAUAAUUAAAACUUUUAACAACGGAUCUCUUGGUUCUGGCAUCGAUGAAGAACGCAGCGAAAUGCGAUAAGUAAUGUGAAUUGCAGAAUUCAGUGAAUCAUCGAAUCUUUGAACGCACAUUGCGCUCGCCAGCAUUCUGGCGAGCAUGCCUGUUCGAGCGUCAUUUCAACCCUCAAGCACCGCUUGGUUUUGGGGCCCCACGGCACACGUGGGCCCUUAAAGGUAGUGGCGGACCCUCCCGGAGCCUCCUUUGCGUAGUAACUAACGUCUCGCACUGGGAUUCGGAGGGACUCUUGCCGUAAAACCCCCAAUUUUUUACAGGUUGACCUCGGAUCAGGUAGGAAUACCCGCUGAACUUAAGCAUAUAUUAAGCCGAGAGA
rnacentral:rRNA from 1 species